rnacentral:rRNA from 1 species
UGGGGAAUUUUGGACAAUGGGCGAAAGCCUGAUCCAGCAAUGCCGCGUGUGUGAAGAAGGCCUUCGGGUUGUAAAGCACUUUUGUCCGGAAAGAAAUCCUUGGCUCUAAUACAGUCGAGGGAUGACGGUACCGGAAGAAUAAGCACCGGCUAACUACGUGCCAGCAGCCGCGGUAAUACGUAGGGUGCAAGCGUUAAUCGGAAUUACUGGGCGUAAAGCGUGCGCAGGCGGUUUGCUAAGACCGAUGUGAAAUCCCCGGGCUCAACCUGGGAACUGCAUUGGUGACUGGCAGGCUAGAGUAUGGCAGAGGGGGGUAGAAUUCCACGUGUAGCAGUGAAAUGCGUAGAGAUGUGGAGGAAUACCGAUGGCGAAGGCAGCCCCCUGGGCCAAUACUGACGCUCAUGCACGAAAGCGUGGGGAGCAAACAGGAUUAGAUACCCUGGUAGUCCACGCCCUAAACGAUGUCAACUAGUUGUUGGGGAUUCAUUUCCUUAGUAACGUAGCUAACGCGUGAAGUUGACCGCCUGGGGAGUACGGUCGCAAGAUUAAAACUCAAAGGAAUUGACGGGGUCAUA